CAGAUUCGCUUCGUCUCGGCGUAUUUAUGAUGCUAUUGUGCUUCCCAUUGACGUUGGAGCAUUGUUUUUUUCCCUCAUCGUUACCAGCGCGGAGCGGUCCCUGGGACGUCCUCGUCGUGGCCGCGAGGGCUGAGCUUCGCCCAUCGCUGCCGGCCCUGGGAAAUAGCCCUUCGGAGCCCAUCUAUCUUUCAAGGCUCCAGCUCUGAAACCUGUGGAUUUCCUCCGAGCAAACGGAGCUCGGCUGGCACGAACCGGGCCGGUUUGUUUUCCUCCGCUUCCCGAGCCGCUUCCCCGCAUCGCCCU
rnacentral:lncRNA from 1 species